GAACAAACAGGCUGCUGCUUAGCGUAGCCUAUUUGCCUUGAAGGGUGGCAACAGCGAUGUGGCAAUUCUCCGUGCUUUUACGAUUAUCUGUUCGUAAAGAGCCUCGAACAAAUUGCUAUAUU